rnacentral:tRNA from 1 species
GCCUGGAUGGCUCAGUGGUUGAGUGUCUGCCUUUGGCUCAGGUCAUGAUCCCCGGGGUCCUGGGAUCGAGUCCCAUGUCAGGCU